rnacentral:rRNA from 1 species
GACGAACGCUGGCGGCGUGCUUAACACAUGCAAGUCGAACGAUGAAGCCGGAGCUUGCUCUGGUGAAUUAGUGGCGAACGGGUGAGUAACACGUGAGUAACCUGCCCUUGACUCUGGGAUAACUGCGGGAAACUGUAGCUAAUACCGGAUACGACCCUCGGAGGCAUCUCCUGGGGGUGGAAAGAAUUUCGGUCAAGGAUGGACUCGCGGCCUAUCAGCUAGUUGGUGGGGUAAAGGCUCACCAAGGCGACGACGGGUAGCCGGCCUGAGAGGGGGACCGGCCACACUGGGACUGAGACACGGCCCAGACUCCUACGGGAGGCAGCAGUGGGGAAUAUUGCACAAUGGGCGCAAGCCUGAUGCAGCAACGCCGCAUGAGGGAUGACGGCCUUCGGGUUGUAAACCUCUUUUAGCAGGGAAGAAGCGAAAGUGACGGUACCUGCAGAAAAAGCACCGGCUAACUACGUGCCAGCCGCCGCCGUAA